CACCGCGGUUAUACGAGAGACCCAAGUUGACAGACAAUCGGCGUAAAGAGUGGUUAAGUACAACAUAUCACUAAAGCCAAACACCUUCAAAGCUGUUAUACGCACCCGAAGGUCAGAAGCCCAAUCACGAAAGUGGCUUUAAACAAACUGAACCCACGAAAGCUAGGGCA
rnacentral:rRNA from 1 species